rnacentral:rRNA from 1 species
CCCAGGCCUUGUACACGCCGCCCGUCACAUCAUGAAAGCCGGUUGUACCCGAAGUCGCCCCUCAAAAGGUGCCGAAGGCAUGGCUGGUGAUUGGGAUG